rnacentral:rRNA from 1 species
GACGAACGCUGGCGGCGUGCCUAAUACAUGCAAGUCGAACGCAUUUUCUUUCACCGUAGCUUGCUACACCGAAAGAAAAUGAGUGGCGAACGGGUGAGUAACACGUGGGUAACCUGCCCAUCAGCGGGGGAUAACGCUUGGAAACAGGUGCUAAUACCGCAUAAUUCCAUUUACCGCAUGGUAGAUGGGUGAAAGGCGCUUUUGCGUCACUGAUGGAUGGACCCGCGGUGCAUUAGCUAGUUGGUGGGGUAACGGCCUACCAAGGCUGCGAUGCAUAGCCGACCUGAGAGGGUGAUCGGCCACACUGGGACUGAGACACGGCCCAGACUCCUACGGGAGGCAGCAGUAGGGAAUCUUCGGCAAUGGACGCAAGUCUGACCGAGCAACGCCGCGUGAGUGAAGAAGGUUUUCGGAUCGUAAAACUCUGUUGUUAGAGAAGAACAAGGAUGAGAGUGGAAAGUUCAUCCCUUGACGGUAUCUAACCAGAAAGCCACGGCUAACUACGUG